rnacentral:rRNA from 1 species
GCACCUCGAUGUCGGCUCAUCGCAUCCUGGGGCUGAAGCAGGUCCCAAGGGUUUGGCUGUUCGCCAAUUAAAGCGGUACGCGAGCUGGGUUUAGAACGUCGUGAGACAGUUCGGUCCCUAUCCUCCGUGGGCGGAGGAAAUUUGAGAGAUGCUACCCCUAGUACGAGAGGACCGGGGUGGACGGACCUCUGGUGUUCCUGUUGUCGCGCCAGCGGCAUAGCAGGGUAGCUACGUUCGGUACGGAUAACCGCUGAAAGCAUCUAAGUGGGAAGCCGUUCUCAAGACUAGAUUUCCCUCCCGUUUCGACGGGCUGAAGGCCACCUGAAGACGACAGGUUUGAUAGGCUGGGUGUGUAAGCGCGGUAACGCGUUGAGCUAACCAGUACUAAUAGGCCGUGAGGCUUGACCC